rnacentral:rRNA from 1 species
CCCCUUCCAGAGUAUCAAUUGGAGGGCAAGUCUGGUGCCAGCAGCCGCGGUAAUUCCAGCUCCAAUAGCGUAUAUUAAAAUUGUUGCAGUUAAAAAGCUCGUAGUUGAAUUUCUGCCGCAUCGCGGCGGCCCUCCCGGGCCCAGCGUUGCGGCUUAUUUCGGACUCGCUUGCGUCUCCGAAUGUUUACUUUGAGAAAAUUAGAGUGCUCAAAGCAGGCCCUUGCCUUGAAUACUUUAGCAUGGAAUAAUAAAGUAGGACUUUGGUUCUAUUUUGUUGGUUUAGCGCCAAAGUAAUGGUUAAUAGGAACAGUUGGGGGCAUUCGUAUUUAACUGUCAGAGGUGAAAUUCUU